AGCAGCCGCGGUAAUUCCAGCUCCAAUAGCGUAUAUUAAAGUUGUUGCAGUUAAAAAGCUCGUAGUUGAAUUUCGGGAUUGACGUGAUGGUCGUACCUUAAGGGGUAUGAACUGUCGCUGUUGAUUUCUCACCUUCUGGAGAAACUUGAUGUCCUUAAUUGGGUGUCUUGCGGAUCCAGGACCUUUACCUUGAAAAAAUUAGAGUGUUUAAAGCAGGCAUUUUUGCUCGAAUACAUUAGCAUGGAAUAAUAGAAUAGGACGGCAUGGUUCUAUUUUGUUGGUUUCUAGGAUCACCGUAAUGAUUAAUAGGGAUAGUUGGGGGCAUUAGUAUUCAAUUGUCAGAGGUGAAAUUCUUGGAUUUAUUGAAGACUAACUACUGCGAAAGCAUUUGCCAAGGAUGUUUUCAUUAAUCAAGAACGAAAGUUAGGGGAUCGAAGACGAUCAGAUACCGUCGUAGUCUUAACCAUAAACUAUGCCGACUAGGAAUCAGACGAUGUUAAUUUUUUAAUGACUCGUUUGGCACCUUACG
rnacentral:rRNA from 1 species